CGCGCAGGCGGUCGUUCAAGUCGAGUGUGAAAGCCCCCGGCUCAACUGGGGAGGGUCAUUCGAUACUGAUCGACUCGAAGGCAGGAGAGGGAAGCGGAAUUCCCGGUGUAGUGGUGAAAUGCGUAGAUAUCGGGAGGAACACCAGUGGCGAAGGCGGCUUCCUGGCCUGUCCUUGACGCUGAGGCGCGAAAGCUAGGGGAGCAAACG
rnacentral:rRNA from 1 species